GGAUGUGGCUCACUGGUGGAAUAUCUGCUUUGCAUGCAAAGGACUCCAGGUUCAAUUCUUGGCAGCUCCA